UGUAGGUGUGAUUGUGCUGGCUGUGCUGGUUGGAGUCGUCAUCAUCAUCUUCCUGAAAAAGAAGCAGAAAGCUGGCUGGACCUGCUUCAGGAGGCUGAACAGCACAGGGAGCAGUUGGAGGCCUGUCUUUUGAUGCCCUCAGCUUCUUCCUGUGUUUUCCCUCACUCCAUCCCUCUCUCUCCUCCCGUCCCUGUUCUUCAAAUGCAGGGAGCUCCUCCCCCCCCAGGCCCCUGCUCAGGUCCAGUGUCAGCCUUUCCUCCUUUCCUCCUUUCCUCUUUUCCUCCGUCCUCAUGCUCCCUCUCUCUCAUGAGCCCAGUGGCCGAAUCAUGAGUGCAGAUGAGGGCAGCAGAGAGGAGCAGAUGUCCAGCACCUGAACACCAAGCACCAAUGAGAGCCAGAGUGCUGGAAUGAAUGGUGAUGCAUCUAAGAAUCAAUUGUUGUUGGUAAUUAAAUAAGUUACUCACAGAAGAUCAUAACACUACACGACACCUACAAAAGGUAAUCAUGACAGCUGACAAAGAUCUACAUAAACAUUUAUGUCAGCUGUCAUGAGGCCUUAUGAACUCUGCUCCUCAAUAAAGUAUUAGCAAAUCAUCAUCAUCCUCAUCCCUUAAUCUGAGGUUAGAUUCACUGAAACUGAUGAAGUGCUCAGAUUAAAGUGAACUGAAGUUCUCAUCACUUUAACCAUCACUAUAAUAAUUCUAUAUUAUAAUAUUCACUGUAACUUUGCAUCAACAUUACUGUCAGCUACACAGCAGAGGGGCCCGAUACGUCGAUCACACAGUGCAUGUUGGUAGAUCUCGCCUCGUUCAAACAGGCUAUCAAAUUUCAGCACUUUCUUACUGCUUCUGGAGACGGCAGGUCAACGUGAUUGACUGAUGUGAAAUGUGGCCACUGUCUCUUUAUUGUGCUGCUUGUUACCGUAGCUACACCACAGCCCACCUAAAGCACUGCUGUGAGUUUGUUUCUCUAGCAGUCUAGAACGUUUUUAUUUAAUGAUAGUCAGUUUGUGUAGCACCAUUUAGAUUUUUAAGCCGUUUGCCCUGAAACUCUGAAUAUCAAUACAGGCCACUGAAGUCCAUUAAAAGUUUCAAAGCUCUUAAAGAGGACGAGGCCGGCCUGAUCUCUUUUUCUUUCUUUUUUUUCAGUGAUUUUACUCACAUGAGUGGAUAAUUAGCAUUAGUCAUGUUGAUUUAAUCCACUGUAACAUGUUCACAUGUAUGUAUCGCGUGUUUAUUGUAUUCAUUAAUAUGAAAAUGUGGCCUGAAAACUACAAACAUUCAGGAGACUCACUGGUGCAGACCUACAGCACCAUCUGCUGGACAAACGUUCAGCUGAGCUGCUUUAACUGAGCUGUAGGUUUAUCAGAUUAAAGCUAUUUACUUUAACAAAAUGUGUUUCUACAGUAAAAACACCAUAUGACAUUAGAAUAAACACAAAUAAACAUAAAUACAGCAGUCAGUGGUCAGAUUACUUUCUCAGAUGGUCUAAUACUUUUGUACAGUGUUAGACUGUUUUAGUUACAGUCCUGCAUUAAGAAUAAAGACCACUCAGUUUAUCCCCUAGUUCUGAUGUAAACCUUGUUCCUGACUCAGCUCACAGAAAGGUGUGUAGCUGUGCUCUAGCAGAGCGAACUGUGAUCAGUCUCAGCUCUCAGAACUUUAGCUGUAGUGUUUUUCUGAUCAGAUCAUUUCCAGUGAUGUAGCCAGAUCAGCUCAGACAUAUGUAAACUUCAUUUUUUUCCUUUUAGUUUGUUUUUGUUUUUUAUUAAUUAUAUUUUUAUGUAUUUUGUUUGUUUUUUGUUUAUUGUCUUGUUAAUAAUGUGUUUGUGUGUUCAAGCAUACUGUUACAUAUACUGCAUAUAAAGUUAGCAGAUAUGAUUUUCAGUUAUAUUGUUAUACCGAUACUUUACUGUAAAAUGUUAUGUGAAUAUUUCAUGAUGAAUGAAAGAUAGAAACAUUUCAAAAUCUAAAUCUUUACAGUAACUUACAUGUUAUGGUCAUUUUGGCUUUCUCCUGUGAAGUCACUGUUGUUUUGAUGAUGCAUGGUUUGUUUGUUUGUUUGUUUUUUGAGUUACUCAACUGGGUAACACUUUUUUGGUUUUUCAUUAAGGUUAAUGUAUUUUUUAAUCUGCACAGGAUAUUUAAACUUGAACUUUAACUGCAGCACUGCCUUCACACUAAA